GAUGAAGAACGUAGCGAAAUGCGAUAAGUAAUGUGAAUUGCAGAAUUUAGUGAAUCAUCGAAUCUUUGAACGCACAUUGCGCCCGCCAGUAUUCUGGCGGGCAUGCCUGUUCGAGCGUCAUUUCAACCCUCAAGCCCUCGGGUUUGGUGUUGGGGAUCGGCGAGCCUUUCUGGCAAGCCGGCCCCGAAAUCUAGUGGCGGUCUCGCUGCAGCCUCCAUUGCGUAGUAGUAAAACCCUCGCAACUGGAACGCGGCGCGGCCAAGCCGUUAAACCCCCAACUUCUGAAUGUUGACCUCGGAUCAGGUAGGAAUACCCGCUGAACUUAAGCAUAUCAAUAAGCGGAGGA
rnacentral:misc_RNA from 1 species